UUCGAAGAGACGCUAAAUAAGAGGUUGAAGUGUCAGGUUGAGAAUCAACUCGGUUUUCAGAGUUCUUGGUUCGUGCAAGGUCCUUCGGGAAAGCAUUGUUGCUAUGUUCGGUCUGCAAUGUUUUGCAGUCGUGACAUUGUUGGUAUUCUAUUGGCUUGGACGCAGAGCCGAAUUAAGGCCAUUUGCGUGAACUGAGUACAGUAGUUUACGUGAUUGCUAGUCCAGGAGUGGAGUCUCGACCAAGACGACGUCAGUGGUGGUGGCUGAACCAACCAUGGUGACGGAAGGAGGAGAGGAACUUGCAGGAGGCACCAUUCGGUUUGGUGAUGACGGUGGAGAUGGUGAGGCGGUCCUCGCAGGAUGGGCUGAACCUGAUGGAAUAGCCAUUUGAAAGGGCCCGGUGUUCUUCUUUUGGCAUGGACGGUGCUAUCGUCAAUGUCGAUGUCGCCGGAGGGCGGACGGUGAGAGUUUCGCUGUGUCACCGAGAAAGCAAUGUUGGCAACGGCCGUUUGCAGGCUUUGCCGAAGGGACACCCUGUCCUAGGUGAUGGUGUUAUUGUGUACCUUUCUGCUUUUGAAAUAGAAUGGUAAUGUCCAGUCGUACGACGGUGUGUUAUUUGAUGAAAGAAGAAGGCUGCUUCUUUGGUCGACCACCAGAAUGCGUGGCUCUGCUAGUCAAGUGGAGAUCAAAGACUGCCGCGAAAGGUGGAAAUAACGCGUGUUGCCGGUGCUCUUUGACAGAGAUUGUGCGUGGCGCGUGGUAAGGUUGCGGAUGAUGCGGAGAUUGGUCCAAUCAGUACGACUGUCGUUGCGGAUGACAGUGAAGAGGACGACUUUGAUGAUUAUUGCAUUUGGAGUUUUCCUAUUCUGAUUUCCACUUGCAGUAUAUACUCACAUAUGUGAUGCAGAAGAAGCGACGGGUUCCAACUAAAAGUUUCACUUUGCUGAGUUUUUGCACCAUUUAGUUUUCAUCUGCUUUAGUUUCACAUACUUGAAACCAGUGUUUGUAAUAGGAGAUUUCCCCUCUGUUAAUUGAAGUCCAUGAUAUUUUAAGCAUGAAGUUAUGUGGAACAUCGUCUCCAUUAAACGCAGAUAUUUGAGACAAUCAGAUCAUCC
rnacentral:lncRNA from 1 species